GCGGCGCUACGGGUAAUGGCGGUGGCGAAGGGGAGGGGUAAAAUGGCGGCCUGGCCCAGACUCGUGGCUGCGAGGGGCAGUGGGGAUCGCUCCGGCAGAGCAGGCAGGGUGGGGGCCACCUGUAGACGUCUGGUAUCCACGGGGGCGAGAAGGAGCGGGGGAAAGGGCAUAAUACCGUGUGUGGAGGUCCACGCUAGAAGCAAUUUGCAGCGCUCACCCUGGAGGCGGCGGCUGCUCGCGGGCGCCAUUUUCCCCGCCCGGCUCGGGACUCCGGUGUUCCCGUUGCCGCCACAUGGCGGAGCCGGCGCAGCCGCUGCGUCCCGGCCGUCACAGGGGGCGGGCGAGCAGCCGCUGAGGGGUUGCAGAGCCUUGGAAUUAAGGGAUCCCCCUCGCUUGUCUCCGAGGGAAAAGGAGCAGUUCCGCAAACUGUUUAUUGGCGGUUUAAGCUUUGAAACCACAGAAGAAAGCUUGAGGAGUUACUAUGAGCAAUGGGGAAAGCUUACAGACUGCGUGGUAAUGAGGGAUCCUGCAAGCAAAAGAUCAAGGGGUUUUGGUUUUGUAACAUUCUCUUCCAUGGCUGAAGUUGAUGCAGCUAUGGCUGCAAGACCUCACACAAUUGAUGGAAGGGUGGUUGAGCCUAAGAGAGCUGUGGCUAGAGAGGAGUCUGGAAAACCUGGUGCUCAUGUUACUGUGAAAAAAUUAUUUGUUGGUGGUAUUAAAGAGGACACUGAGGAGCACCACCUUCGUGACUACUUUGAGGAAUAUGGAAAAAUUGAUACUAUUGAAAUCAUUACUGACAGACAGUCUGGUAAAAAGAGAGGGUUUGGAUUUGUUACAUUUGAUGACCAUGAUCCUGUGGAUAAAAUUGUAUUGCAGAAGUAUCACACCAUCAAUGGCCAUAAUGCAGAAGUAAGGAAAGCUCUCUCUAGACAGGAAAUGCAGGAGGUUCAAAAUUCUAGGAGUGGGAGAGGAGGGAACUUCGGUUUUGGUGAUGCUCGUGGAGGCGGUGGCAACUUUGGUCCAGGACCUGGCAGCAAUUUCAGAGGGGGAGCCGGUAAGACAGAUGGAUAUGGAAGUGGCCGUGGAUUUGGUGAUGGAUAUAACGGAUAUGGUGGAGGACCUGGAGGUGGCAACUUCGGUGGCAGUCCUGGUUAUGGUGGAGGAAGAGGAGGCUAUGGUGGAGGAGGACCUGGAUAUGGCAACCAGGGUGGAGGCUAUGGAGGUGGUUAUGACAACUAUGGAGGAGGCAAUUACGGAAGUGGAAACUAUAAUGAUUUUGGCAACUACAACCAACAACCUUCAAAUUAUGGUCCGAUGAAGAGUGGAAAUUUUGGUGGCAGCCGGAACAUGGGGGGACCAUAUGGUGGAGGAAACUAUGGUCCAGGGGGCAGUGGAGGAAGUGGUGGAUAUGGAGGGAGGAGCCGUUACUGAGUUUCCUCAAGCAUGCCAUGGCUAUGAUAUGAACCCUGGACAAGCAUAGACUGCUGCCACUGUACACUGCUACAGUUGAACAAAUGAGACCUGCAAGUGUCCAUUAGUAAAGCUUUGCAAGGGUUCCAUCCCUGGUGUUGGUAGUUAAAUGGAAGGUGCCAUGCUGCAGGUAACUAAUGAAGAAGUGGUCAACCACAGAAACGCUUCAAGAAAUAAGAAAUUCUGUAUCAUCAGAAAAUAGUUGUUUUUGCUGCCUUCAUUAAAAAUCUAGAGGUUAAAUGAAUACUGAUAAAACAUCACAAUUAGUACAGCUCCCUGUAAUGAUGGGUUUUUUAAAUUACAGUAAUAAUGUCUUGUAAACCUUUCGAAUAAAAUUCAGAUUCGUUAGGAGAAACAAAUCACUAAUGUUAAAAGAGCAAACAUUCUGUGAGUAGAAAGUUUAACUACAUAUAUUUAUAACUUUCAUAGCUUUAAAAUAAAGUAUUUUUAUACCAAAGUAGUUCUAGUGUAAUGCUUAAUAAAAAUUUAGUGUGUAUUUAACAUUAAAUAAUGUUUAUGUUUAGACCCUUUCAUGAUUUGAAACAUUCCAUUUUGAGGUGAAUUUAAAACAAUCAGUUUGCCAUGUGUGUUCAUGGAACUUGUUUCUCUGACCAUGGGCAUCUGUUCUCUUCUGGGAGAAACAGUGCUGCAAAUUUAAAGUGCUGAUAUCUGUGCUGUUGGACACAAGUGCUUAAAAAUAGCUUUUUUUUGGCUGCGUUUUAUAUUACCUCAUACUUGCCUGUUAAAAAAACUAUGACCUAAGUCAGUUUGUCAGAUGCAAUAGGACAAGAGCUUUAUCCUUUUCACUUCUAAAGAGCUUUUAGCAUGAAGACAGACAGACCUGCUGUACAAAACUCUAUUACCCAUAGCUGCAUCUGGGGGCAGAAUCAAAAUACCAAAACAAAAAAUGCCAAACCAAAUGAAACUAUUAAAACAAACACCAAGUGUGAGCUUGGGAAAGCUUCAGUUGGGGAGUGUAUCCUGAGGUUAUUCUAUUUUAACAUUUAUCUUCAUGCAUGGUUUAUUCAAAAGUUGAAAUUUAUAUGCUUUGGCAGAAUCAUCGAGUCUUUAACCUUUAAAUACUGUUUAAGGAUUCACAUACAAUUUUUUUCUGUUUAAGCUGAACUUUGAAAUACUUGCAUAGGUGACCGGUGGGCUGCAACGGAAGUAGAAAAUGAAGAUGCACAAGUCUCCUUUACUUUCUUCUUUCCAACAGAAUGACCAGAUCAUAAGGAAUUUACCUUCUUUCCUAUAACUUAGAUGUAGUUGAUGAAAGUUUUUUCUUUACAGUUGCCAAGUCCACAUUCAUAUACCAUUUUAAAGAACUAACAAAACCACUUCAAAGGGCAGUAAUUAUUUUUCUGUUUAAAAUACUAUUUCAGUAGUUUAGUAACAAGGUUUAAAAUCUACUUUAAUUGAGCAUGGUUUCCAUAAUGAGUACUGUCUUAUUUUGAUCUGUUGGCACUGAGGGAAGGGAGUGUACAGGGGGACAGCACUGCACAAGAGUGAAGUUACUGGAUAUUUAAAGUUGAGGUUUGAAAAUCUGGUGUAUUUUAAGUUUUCUGAUGUCCUACUGUUGAACUUCCACGACUUUUCUCUUGGUGUGGUCUUAAAAGUUAAGGCACGUGACAGUCAACAGUGUUCACCAAUGAAUGUGGUGAGGGAAGUAACAGUUCUGAGUCAGCCUGAUACUGGAAGCUUUUAGCAGCUUCAAAUUGUGUGGUCAGUCACUGGUCAUCAAUUUGUAGGCAAUGGAUUCUUACUUAUCAAGUAGGAUUUUGUCACUACAGACUUCGUCUUCCAAAUAAGUGUAACAUUACAGUGUUUCCAGGUACUAACAGCUGAGGAUCCGGUUGUCAGUACUAAGUCCAGCCUUCCCCCAGUGAACACUUUGUGCAGCAAACUGAGGGGAGAAAGAAAAACAACAGAACUUGUUGAUAACUGGUGUGUGAGCCAAAGACCACCCAAAAAUAGUAUUACUUGUAUUUACAAAAUGAUGGUGAAAAAGGGUCAGUAGUAGGGUUCUGGCCACUCAGACUUUGUGUUACUUACAAUGAAAGUUGAAUUCUACUUCUAUUGUGCUGCAGGUGCUAAAAAACACUCAAGAAAAUGUGAACAAUUGCCGUUACACUGUGAAAUGAACAGGACUUGAACUUUGUGAUGUGUAGGAAAGACUGUAUUCUUUUAGUAUGAUGAUGAAUGUACAUGAUCUCUUGGUGAUGAAAUCAUACCACUUCUGGGACAGAAAACCCAAGCCCCAGAAAUGGAUCUGAAUUUUCAAACUGUUACCAACUGAGUUUGUUUUGGCAGCUGGACCUCAUUGGUGGGGGAUCAUUUGCUGCUGGGAACAUAUUGGGGCUGUACAUUACCUGCAGGUUUAGUGUUUCAGUUCAUUUUUGAAGCAGAGUGUGUGACGCAAGUGGAACCCUGUAGUAGUGCUGUUGCUUCUUUUCUGCCUAAGGGAGAUGGCUGUUCCUCUUCAGCCAUGUUUUUUCAACCAUACCAUUCAGUGUGUCUAGGAAUGCAUAGGAGUGUCAUAUGGAAGGGUUUGCCUGGGUAUUGAUCCAUUUUGCCAGAAGUACUGUCCCUUUUAAUGGUCAUGUUUUUGCUUUGCAGCUACUGUUGGUUUGUGUUGCACAGAAAUUUUGUCAGGAGUUACUCUUAAUGGAGCAAGAACUGGUUUUUCUAUCAGCAGUAAAAUUAACAGUGUAUAAAUACUUGUGAGACUUGCCUGACAGAGUGCUAUGAACAUGUUAGGUCAACAGUGUUUGGGCACCUCACAGACUAGCUUGUGUGACCUCCCAUGCUGCUCCACUGUGCAAAAAGGUGACUGGGGGAAAGUCCUAGAAAAUUGCUGUUCCAGCACUCUCCCCCUUGCUUGGUUCAUUUUGGGGCAUUCUUGAAUGAAAAUGGGUGGCUGAUGGACAUCAGAGUUCUAGUAGCUGUGCAGCAGGUGUCAAGUUGCAGUACUUCAUGAGGUACACUACAGUAGUAAGACUUCACCUGGUUACAUCUGCCAUCUCUAUUUGGUUUACAUAAAAUAAAAGUGUUUUUCACUACACCCUGCUGUUGAGUGUCCUGUUGCCUCAUUUAUAGGUCUCUGCCACCUCUGCCCUCAAGAUCGUUAGAGCUGUACUUGCUCUCAGAGAAAGAACUACUAAUGUGUGUGUGUGUGUGUUUUAGACAAAGACUGACAAGCUGAUACUCCUGAAGUGCUUUGUCCUUUCCUCAUUGAAGUUUUUUCUGGUUCCCCAUCUAAGACUAGACUGUAAGCUCUUGAGCAGGAACAUCCUUAGCUUGUAAAGUUUGGCGUUGUAAAGAGACAGAACUAUUGAAUAAAACCUAAAACCUAAAACGUUAA